rnacentral:rRNA from 1 species
AUGGGACCCGGGCCGCGGGCCGAGCACGCCGGCGGCGUUCGGAGGGACCCAGCCAGGACGCGGGUUCGGGAGGGCCAUCCCUUAGGGCGCGAAGAACCCCAUGUAGGGAUUGGAGGACAGGGGCGAAGGGUUGCCGUGAUCACCGCGCCCACGGCUGCGGCCACUGCGGUCACCACCAUCAGUGCGGUCGCCAGAGCCGCGGCUUGCCGGAGAGCCGGUGCCCCGAUCGUUGGAGCAAUCAGCAUAGUCGACGGGGCGAGGACCCGAGCCGUCGGAUCCAGAGGAGCUGCUGGAGGGGCUGCCGCCCCCGGUGACGGCGAGGAUCGUGGCUGGCUCAUCAGCCACGCGCUGGGCGAGGUUCUCGGCGAGCUUCAGGCGAGAGAACACCGUCUCGAACGGCGGCAGAGGAACGGUGUCCCUGAGCACGACGCGGAUGGUGUCGAGGUGUUUGUCGAUGCCGUGAAGAAACUGAGUGGUGAGAUCCACCUCAGUGACAGCGUGCUCGAUGUCGGCCAGCCCGGCGGUGAGGAGCUUCAUGCGACGGGCAUACUCGGUGACGGAGAGAUCUCCCUGCUUGAGGUUGUGGUAUUGCCGGUUCAGCAUCAUGUACAGCGCCGUGCGGUUCGCCAGGAAGUAGUCGCGGAUGCGGUGCCAGAGAUCGUAGGUGGUGGUGGCCCCGACGACGUGAUCGACAAGGUUGUCGGCGAGGGUGGAGUAGAUCCAAAGCACAAGAUGGGCGUCGAGCUCGCGCUGGAAGGCGGUGGCAUUGGCGGGGAGGGGCCGUUCGAUGAACUGGAUGACGGCAUAGCGGAUCAGAAUAAGGAGGAAGGACUUCCACUUGUGAUAGUUGUGAUCGUCGGGGUUGAGGAGAAACUUGAUGUGGUUCUGGAUGCUGUCGCGAAAAAUGGGGUGGGGGGAAGGAUCGGCGGUGAAGGAGAGGGAGGGAAGAGGGGGGCGAACUGA